rnacentral:rRNA from 1 species
GACGAACGCUGGCGGCGUGCUUAACACAUGCCAGUCGAACGGAAAGGCCCUGCUUUUGUGGGGUGCUCGAGUGGCGAACGGGUGAGUAACACGUGAGUAACCUGCCCUUGACUUUGGGAUAACUUCAGGAAACUGGGGCUAAUACCGGAUAGGAGCUCCUGCUGCAUGGUGGGGGUUGGAAAGUUUCGGCGGUUGGGGAUGGACUCGCGGCCUCUCAGCUUGUUGGUGGGGUAGUGGCUUACCAAGGCUUUGACGGGUAGCCGGCCUGAGAGGGUGACCGGCCACAUUGGGACUGAGAUACGGCCCAGACUCCUACGGGAGGCAGCAGUGGGGAAUAUUGCACAAUGGGCGGAAGCCUGAUGCAGCAACGCCGCGUGCGGGAUGACGGCCUUCGGGUUGUAAACCGCUUUCGCCUGUGACGAAGCGUGAGUGACGGUAAUGGGUAAAGAAGCACCGGCUAACUACGUG